AUUGAACGCUGGCGGCAUGCUUUACACAUGCAAGUCGAACGGCAGCGCGGGCUUCGGCCUGGCGGCGAGUGGCGAACGGGUGAGUAAUGCAUCGGAACGUGCCCAGUAGUGGGGGAUAGCCCGGCGAAAGCCGGAUUAAUACCGCAUACGACCUGAGGGUGAAAGCGGGGGACCGAAAGGCCUCGCGCUAUUGGCGCGGCCGAUGUCGGAUUAGCUAGUUGGUGGGGUAAAGGCUUACCAAGGCGACGAUCCGUAGCUGGUCUGAGAGGACGACCAGCCACACUGGGACUGAGACACGGCCCAGACUCCUACGGGAGGCAGCAGUGGGGAAUUUUGGACAAUGGGGGCAAGCCUGAUCGAGCCAUGCCGCGUGCGGGAAGAAGGCCUUCGGGUUGUAAACCGCUUUUGUUCGGGAAGAAAACCUCUGGGAUAAUCCCCCGGGGGGAUGACGGUACCGGAAGAAUAAGCACCGGCUAACUACGUG
rnacentral:rRNA from 1 species